rnacentral:rRNA from 1 species
AUGAACGCUGGCGGCGUGCCUAAUACAUGCAAGUCGAGCGAACAGACGAGGAGCUUGCUCCUCUGACGUUAGCGGCGGACGGGUGAGUAACACGUGGAUAACCUACCUAUAAGACUGGGAUAACUUCGCGAAACCGGAGCUAAUACCGGAUAAUAUAUUGAACCGCAUGGUUCAAUAGUGAAAGACGGUUUUGCUGUCACUUAUAGAUGGAUCCGCGCCGCAUUAGCUAGUUGGUAAGGUAACGGCUUACCAAGGCGACGACGCGUAGCCGACCUGAGAGGGUGAUCGGCCACACUGGAACUGAGACACGGUCCAGACUCCUACGGGAGGCAGCAGUAGGGAAUCUUCCGCAAUGGGCGAAAGCCUGACGGAGCAACGCCGCGUGAGUGAUGAAGGUCUUCGGAUCGUAAAACUCUGUUAUUAGGGAAGAACAAAUGUGUAAGUAACUAUGCACGUCUUGACGGUACCUAAUCAGAAAGCCACGGCUAACUACGUG